rnacentral:lncRNA from 1 species
UGGGCAUGCGCAUCGGUCGGGGUGGCGGGAACAGGAAAAGGUGAACCCAGAAAUGCUGAGUCAGGCUACCCAAGGUGGCUGUCGGGAGGGUGGGAAUAAAUGGCGGGAAUAAGCAAAAAUGCCAAGUCAGGGUGGCCAAGAUGGCCACUGGGAUGGCGGGAACCCGCGAAUCUGGGAAUGCCGAGUCAGGGUAGCCAAGACGGUUGCUGGUCGCCAUCUUGGAGUCUUCACCGGAGUCCAAUCAAUUGGUUCAGAGACAACCGUUCCAGUGGCUAUAGGAGGAUUAAAAGAGAACAAAGGAGGAUAUUGGGGCAUCAGCCUCACAGAAGUGGGUCAGGAAAGUCAUACCUUUGCUUGAUCUUAUGCUAGAUGCUCCUCUGAGUUAAGAGAAAACAAAAACAGAGCAAUACUUGUGAAGAAAAACGUGCUUCUCUUGUCUCAUCUUAGCACUGAAUAUGCUAAUGGCCCUUCCGGACACCUACCUCAACAGAAACAAUGCUAACCUGAAUGAAUAGAUCCCAGGACAUUCUUUUCGUAAACCCAGUCCAGCCUACAUUCUUUAUUUCAUGUUUUGCCAAACACCAUUACAUUAGAGGUCAUUAGAAACUUGUCAAUAUAUUUAAAA